rnacentral:rRNA from 1 species
UACGAAGGACCCAAGCGUUAUCCGGAUUUAUUGGGUUUAAAGGGUGCGUAGGCGGAUUAUUAAGUCAGUGGUGAAAGCCUGCAGCUUAACUGCAGAAUUGCCAUUGAUACUGAUGAUCUUGAGUAUGAUUGAGGUGGGCGGAAUGUGUCAUGUAGCGGUGAAAUGCUUAGAUAUGACACAGAACACCGAUUGCGAAGGCAGCUCACUAAGCCAUAACUGACGCUGAUGCACGAAAGCGUGGGUAGCAAACCGG